CCGUCAGUGGCUAAGCUAACGCGAUAAGUGCACCGCCUGAGGACUACGGCCGCAAGGCUAAAACUCAAAGGAAUUGACGGGUCUCCGCACAAGCGGUGGAGCAUGUGGCUUAAUUCGAUGCAACGCGAAGAACCUUACCAGGCCUUGACAUGUAGUGGACCGGGGCAGAGAUGCCCCUUCUCUUCGGAGCCGCUUCACAGGUGCUGCAUGGCUGUCGUCAGCUCGUGUCGUGAGAUGUUCGGUUAAGUCCGUCAACGAGCGCAACCCCUGUCCUUAGUUGCCAGCAUUCAGUUGGGGACUCUAAGGAGACAAUCCCGCUUUCGCGGGAGGGAAGGUGGGGAUGAUGUCAAGUCAGUAUGGCCCUUACGGCCUGGGCUGCACACGUGCUACAAUGCCCGGUACAAUAGGAUGCUACUCCGCGAGGAGAUGCCAACCCCUAAAGCCGGGCCCAGUUCGGAUUGGAGUCUGCAACUCGACUCCAUGAAGUCGGAAUCGCUAGUAAUGGCGUAUCAGCAACGACGCCGUGAAUACGUUCCCGGGGAUUGUACACACCGCCCGUCACAUCAUGAGAGCCGGU
rnacentral:rRNA from 1 species